rnacentral:lncRNA from 1 species
GUUAUACUGUUAUCUCUUGUUCAUCACUUCUUUUUUUUUUUUCUUGUAUGUGUGUGUGUGAGAGAGAGACAUGGUCUUGCUGUAUAGGUCAUACUGGCCUCAGCUAGGUACAUAGGCAUAUACCAACCACCAUGUCCAUGCCUCUUCCUGUUUUGUACAGAUGUAGCUGGGCUUUGUUAAAUGAAUGCAUACAUGUUAUUUCUAAGUAGAUUCACCCUCUUUCUUCCUACCAUAAUUAAAUUCCUACUUUCCUGACACCCUUGAACUUUCAUAGAUGCCCUGCUUUGCCCUGAACAUUCCUCAAUAUUCCUGUACAGGCAGACCUGAGCUUUUGAGCAUUGAUACUUUGAGGCUGCCUUGCAGAUGAGCUAUUAUGUUCAUUAGCUGAACAAGGAACCCUUUGAAUGGGGGUGUGGAAUGAGUGGCACUGCCUGCAGAUAAGCAAUUCAAGUCUGGUGACAUCAGAUCAUCAUCAGUACUCCAGUUUGUUUACCACAGAUUGUUUGUUGUUGCUGUGGUCACAAUUUUAUGUCGUUUUACAUGCUAGGCAAGUGCUUUCCUUCUGUAUUGCAUCCCUUACCUUCGGCUGAUUACUUUAUUGAAGUAGAUUUUGAACUGAUUUUUAAGUACCAUGGAUACUUGGGUAGAGGGUGGGCAUUUUGAAGAGAGCUCUAAACUGACUUCUGUUAUAUGGGUUUCUGGUUAGAAUUAUGACUUUGUUCUCCUGGUUCUUUGUAACCUGACUGUUACUCAUUCUCCUCCUUGUCCCCAAAGAAGAACAAACCCCUUUCCCCAAAACAACCUUUCUAAAAUGAUCUUUUUAUCUUGUUUUUGUUUUUCAAAUAUCUUUAGAAUGAAUGCCAACUAUAUAUCACAAGAAGUUAUUGAAUAAAAUAUAAUUGCUAUUUAUUUCUAUUUUAGUUGUCAAGUGGGAAUCCUGUAUAUGAAAAAUACUACAGACAGGUAAGAUUUCAUUAUUUGUAUUCUGAAUUGACCAUAAAAUAUGCUAUCAAUUGUUGAUUAUAUGCAUGUAGAUAAGCAUUCACACACACAAGAAGCAGUCACUAGAUAUGUUUGAUGUGUUAUGCUUUCUAUUUUUUGGGCUUUAGCCUCUAGCUUUGAGUACUUGAUACUGACUUUGUUUUGAGAGGGUCCUACUAGGUGAUCUCUGCUGGCCUUUUAGUACAUAAUCCUCAAGUGGGAACUUGAGGGUUCUUUGGAAAGUCAGUUGUGUUGGAUGGUGUUUUGAUGGAGCAAACACGUGAAGGAAUGUUUUCCUGAAGUAGACACAGAUGAAAGAAAGACUAAGGCAGACUUGUGAAGGAAUGUUUUGCUGAAGCAGACAUAGGAGAAAAGAUGUUCUGCUAAAGCAAGCACGUGAAAGGACAUGUAAUGAAGGAUUCUUUGCUAAUAACAAACACGUAUUGGUCUGCCUUGCAUUGAGUAUUUGAGCUGCAUUUGUUGGGACUCUUCAGACGGGGCUGAUUGGAUGCCCACACUGAGGCAAGAGCUGUACUGAGGCACGGCAUGUGGAAGACAUGUGAUGUUUGAUGUUUCAAGUUUUCGCACAGCCAAGAACUUCUGGUGUUCCUACUGAUCUCCUGCUGACUUGAGCCAAGGCUGAGGCUGGCUGUCUCUGCUAGGUUGUGUUACCACAGUAGCUAACCAGACUCUGUAUAGAACUGGACUGCUGGUUUAUCUGUGAAGUGUUUGUGAGUGGUUCGAGCUACUGCUGCCUGCUAACCUGUGAACUGAAAUGCUGACUUCCAGACAGCAGAGAUGGAGUUGCUCCAAAGAAGCUUUCCAAACAGGUCCACUUCACCCUCAGCAUCCUUUCUUUCCCACCACCUCUGGUGAGUGGUGGGCAAUAAAAGAGGUUAAAGCAUUUAAGAACCAUCAUUAAAGAUAGGAUUUGAAAAAAUUAAAGUUACGUAAUCCUAUCUCAAUCUCCUGUGUGCUGAGAUUAUAGGCUUAUACCAGACACUAGCAAUUAGUUCUCAGGAAAAUGAAAGAGAAUUUAGUUACCUUAAAUAUUAGUGUUAAAAAAAUCUUUAGAAUAUUAGACCCACUCAUUCAGAUAAAAAUAUCCAAAUUAAUGUGUAAGCCAAAGAGAUAUAACUAUUAUAUGUUUGUUUGUUUGUUUGAUGGUUUGGUGGUUGGUUCUUGCUCCAUAGUCUGGAUGGCCUGGCACAUAGUCUGACUUGUCACAACCCUCCUGCAUCAGCCUCUAGUGUUGAGAUUAUAGGUGUGUGCUGUUACACCUGUCUUAUUUAAGUAUGUUUUACAGACUGAAAGCAUGGCUGUCACACACAUGAAUUGAGUAUGGGCUGAGGUGUAACUCUUUGGCAGAUUACAUGUUCAACAUACACAAAGACCUAGGUUUAAUUCCCAGAACUGCAGAACCAAUCAACCAAACAAAACUUGUAUCAAGGCUUUUAUUAAUUAAUAAAACUCAGGGAAACAUUCAGAU